AAGUCGAGCGAAGCGCUUGUGAAUGAUCCUUCGGGUGAUUUUGCUGGUGACUGAGCGGCGGACGGGUGAGUAACGCGUGGGUAACCUGCCUCAUACAGGGGGAUAACAGUUAGAAAUGACUGCUAAUACCGCAUAAGCGCACAGUGCCACAUGGUACGGUGUGAAAAACUCCGGUGGUAUGAGAUGGACCCGCGUCUGAUUAGCUAGUUGGUGGGGUAACGGCCCACCAAGGCGACGAUCAGUAGCCGACCUGAGAGGGUGAUCGGCCACAUUGGGACUGAGACACGGCCCAAACUCCUACGGGAGGCAGCAGUGGGGAAUAUUGCACAAUGGGGGAAACCCUGAUGCAGCAACGCCGCGUGAGUGAAGAAGUAUUUCGGUAUGUAAAGCUCUAUCAGCAGGGAAGAAAAUGACGGUACCUGACUAAGAAGCCCCGGCUAACUACGUGCCAGCAGCCGCGGUAAUACGUAGGGGGCAAGCGUUAUCCGGAUUUACUGGGUGUAAAGGGAGCGUAGACGGCAGCGCAAGUCUGAAGUGAAAGCCCGGGGCUCAACCCCGGAAUGGCUUUGGAAACUGCGCGGCUAGAGUACCGGAGGGGUAAGCGGAAUUCCUAGUGUAGCGGUGAAAUGCGUAGAUAUUAGGAGGAACACCAGUGGCGAAGGCGGCUUACUGGACGGUAACUGACGUUGAGGCUCGAAAGCGUGGGGAGCAAACAGGAUUAGAUACCCUGGUAGUCCACGCGGUAAACGA
rnacentral:rRNA from 1 species